ACACACGUAGCUCAUCUGGCAAGAGCAUGAGACGCUAGCCUCAAGGUUUCAGGUUCGAAUCCCGGCGUGUGCU